GACGAACGCUGGCGGCGUGCUUAACACAUGCAAGUCGAGCGAGUGGAUUCCCUUCGGGGAUGAAGCUAGCGGCGGACGGGUGAGUAACACGUGGGCAACCUGCCUUAUAGAGGGGGAUAGCCUUCCGAAAGGAAGAUUAAUACCGCAUAACAUCAGAUUAUCGCAUGGUAGACUGAUCAAAGGAGCAAUCCGCUAUAAGAUGGGCCCGCGUCGCAUUAGCUAGUUGGUGAGGUAACGGCUCACCAAGGCGACGAUGCGUAGCCGACCUGAGAGGUUGAUCGGCCACAUUGGGACUGAGACACGGCCCAGACUCCUACGGGAGGCAGCAGUGGGGAAUAUUGCGCGAUGGGGGAAACCCUGAUGCAGCAACGCCGCGUGAGUGAUGAAGGCCUUCGGGUUGUAAAGCUCUUUGAUCAGGGACGAUAAUGACGGUACCUGAAGAACAAGCCACGGCUAACUACGUGCCAGCCGCCGCGGUAAAAC
rnacentral:rRNA from 1 species